UACGUAGGUGGCAAGCGUUGUCCGGAAUUAUUGGGCGUAAAGCGCGCGCAGGCGGUUUCUUAAGUCUGAUGUGAAAGCCCACGGCUCAACCGUGGAGGGUCAUUGGAAACUGGGAAACUUGAGUGCAGAAGAGGAAAGUGGAAUUCCACGUGUAGCGGUGAAAUGCGUAGAGAUGUGGAGGAACACCAGUGGCGAAGGCGACUUUCUGGUCUGUAACUGACGCUGAGGCGCGAAAGCGUGGGGAGCAAACAGG
rnacentral:rRNA from 1 species